GAUGAAGAACGUAGCGAAAUGCGAUACGUAAUGUGAAUUGCAGAAUUCAGUGAAUCAUCGAAUCUUUGAACGCAUAUUGCGCUCUCUGGUAUUCCGGAGAGCAUGCUUGUUUGAGUAUCAGUAAACACCUCAACUUCCAUAUCUUUUUUGAAAUGGGAGUUGGACUUGAGUGAUCCCAACGCUUUUCCUCACCGAAAAGUGGCGGGUUACUUGAAAUGCAGGUGCAGCUGGACUUUUCUCUGAGCUAUAAGCAUAUCUAUUUAGUCUGCCUAAAAAACAGAUUAUUACCUUUGCUGCAGCUAACAUAAAGGAGAUUAGUUCUUGUGCUGACUGAUGCAGGAUUCACAAAGACAGGCUUCGGCCGACUUUGUAAACUCGAUCUCAAAUCAAGCAAGACUACCCGCUGAACUUAAGCAUAUCAAUAAGCGGAGGA
rnacentral:misc_RNA from 1 species